rnacentral:rRNA from 1 species
CAGCAGCCGCGGGAAUACGUAGGGUGCAAGCGUUAAUCGGAAUUACUGGGCGUAAAGCGUGCGCAGGCGGUCUGUUAAGUCAGAUGUGAAAUCCCCGAGCUUAACUCGGGAACUGCAUUUGAAACUGGCAAGCUAGAGUCUUGUAGAGGGGGGUAGAAUUCCAGGUGUAGCGGUGAAAUGCGUAGAGAUCUGGAGGAAUACCGGUGGCGAAGGCGGCCCCCUGGACAAAGACUGACGCUCAGGUGCGAAAGCGUGGGGAGCAAACAGGAUUAGAUACCCCAGUAGUCCCUGUCUCUUAUAC